rnacentral:lncRNA from 1 species
UUCCCCUUUCUCUCUCCUCCCCCCCGAGCUCUCUCUUCCUCCGGUUCGGCGAUUUUCCUUCCUCUUCCGAUUGCCGGCGAUUCCGGCCACCCCAAGGCGUGCCACCGGUCAUCCCAAGAUCGCCUCCUCCCUCUGAGCACCCCUGCAUCCUUGGUUUUCCACGAUUUGGCCGGAAAACCACGGAUCGAAGCAAAACCUCCUCCGGCUGCAGUUUUGGACUUUUGCCGAUUUCCGGCGAUUCCGGCCACCUCCGGUCCCCAUCUCUUCAUCGAAGGACGUGAGGAGGAUUUCCUCGAGGAGGGUUUGGAUCGACGGCAAGCUUAGCCGUACUUUAUCACAGUGUUGCGGACCGGCAUAGGAGCGGAGGCUAGUACCACAUUUGUCAUCCAUUCUCAGUAGGUUAUUGAUUAACCUACUUAUUGUUUUAUAUUCCGAGUCUGUUCCUUAGAUUGCUCUGAAUACUUGUUGAGAGUGGAUUUAUACAUUUGUAUAAUUAUGUAUUGUGGAGUUUGA